rnacentral:rRNA from 1 species
UGCGGCCAUACCACCCUGAACACGCCCGAUCUCGUCUGAUCUCGGAAGCUAAGCAGGGUCGGGCCUGGUUAGUACUUGGAUGGGAGAACUUACAGGCCGAAACUGCCU